GGGUUGUGAGGUUAAGCGACUAAGCGUACACGGUGGAUGCCCUGGCAGUCAGAGGCGAUGAAGGACGUGCUAAUCUGCGAUAAGCGUCGGUAAGGUGAUAUGAACCGUUAUA
rnacentral:rRNA from 2 species